UCGAAGUGCUUUUUGUGCGAGGCUAAUUUCCAGCAAGCUUUUCUUGCAACUUUGAGUCGAUUUUCAUGCUCCUUCGGUGAGAAUGUUCCUUUCUUUCCAUUUUCAAUUUAUAUGUAUCAAUACAAAAAAUACUCCAAAAAGGAAGCAUAUACUUGGGCAUAUUGUUGUAGUUUGGGAAUCAAUUUAGAAGUUAUUCGCAUGCUUAAUUUGUUAUUAUUACGUGUAUAACAGUAAUGCAUGCCAUAUGUUUGUU
rnacentral:lncRNA from 1 species